rnacentral:rRNA from 1 species
GGGCCCGCACAAGCGGUGGAGCAUGUGGUUUAAUUCGAUGAUACGCGAGGAACCUUACCAGGGCUUAAAUGUAGUCUGACAGCUUUAGAGAUAGAGUUUUCUUCGGACAGAUUACAAGGUGCUGCAUGGUUGUCGUCAGCUCGUGCCGUGAGGUGUCAGGUUAAGUCCUAUAACGAGCGCAACCCCUGUCGUUAGUUGCCAGCAUGUCAUGAUGGGGACUCUAACGAGACUGCCGGUGCAAACCGCGAGGAAGGUGGGGAUGACGUCAAAUCAUCACGGCCCUUACGUCCUGGGCCACACACGUGCUACAAUGGCCGGUACAGAGAGCAGCCACGUCGCAAGGCGGAGCGAAUCUAUAAAACCGAUCUCAGUUCGGAUCGGGGUCUGCAACUCGACCCCGUG